rnacentral:rRNA from 1 species
UGCAUWWYCMAAAAGCGGAGGAAAAGAAACCAACAGGGAUUGCCUCAGUAACGGCGAGUGAAGCGGCAAAAGCUCAAAUUUGAAAUCCCCCGGGAAUUGUAAUUUGAAGAGAUUUGGGUCCGGCCGGCGGGGGUUAAGUCCACUGGAAAGUGGCGCCACAGAGGGUGACAGCCCCGUGAACCCCCUCAACGCCUUUAUCCCAGGUCUCCAAGAGUCGAGUUGUUUGGGAAUGCAGCUCUAAGUGGGUGGUAAAUUCCAUCUAAAGCUAAAUACCGGCGAGAGACCGAUAGCGAACAAGUACAGUGAUGGAAAGAUGAAAAGCACUUUGAAAAGAGAGUGAAAAAGUACGUGAAAUUGUUGAAAGGGAAGGGCUUGCAAGCAGACACUUAACUGGGCCAGCAUCGGGGCGGCGGGGAGCAAAACCACUGGGGAAUGUACCUUUCGAGGAUUAUAACCCCGGUCCUUACUCCCUCACCAUCCCGAGGCCUGCAAUCUAAGGAUGCUGGCGUAAUGGUUGCAAGUCGCCCGUCUUGAAA